UUUUUUCCAUCGUUCGAGCGAUGGGGUUUGAUGAAAUCGACGAGUUUAAUCCGUUCGGAGGGUUUCUGCGCCGGUUGAGAUUUUUCUUCAUCGGUCGAAAUGCUUCCUCUUCUUUAUAAAGAUAGAUUGGAAUGGCAAACGUUUCUCAACUACACUCCAAUUUGAAAGCCGGCUCCACCGUCGAAGUUCUUCUCCUGGGAUUUUGGGAGACUGGCAAUGUAAAGAAAGGCUGCUAGCUUCUGGAUCUCACAACUCUCAUGAAGAAGCCAAGAGCAGAUAACUAAAGUUCUACAGAUAGUGCAAAUUUGUGUUUGCUUAUUCCUCAGCGCAACGUCCAGAACACACUUUUAUUAUGAUCAGGAAACUCAAGCCAGCAAGAACUUUCUUAAAGUGCUAGGUUGGUCUUGGUCUGGCUCAAUGUCUUCGUUUACCCACCUCAGACUUUUGAGUUCCUUUGCAAAGCCAAAUUCAGUGAAAUUGAGACAAUCAAUGGAUGGUGCUCCUUCUCCUGUUCUAAGUGCUAUCAAAAGCUACAGCAGGGUUUCACAUCUUUUCCAUGUUCAAGAUGUAAUGAUGACAAUGCUAUUGGGGUAAUGUAUUCUCACAGUAAUUGCAGAGAUUGUUUUCUCAUCUAAUGUGUAUUGUCUCAACCUAGGUUUUACUAACAUCUUUUAACCAUGUCAUUGUAAAGGAUUGUCUACAGUAUUGUCAUCAUUACAUCUUUAAGAUAUAGUAUAGGCUUAGAUAAAUAAA